rnacentral:rRNA from 1 species
AUGGUAUUGAGGAAUGCGUCCGCUGUCUCUGCGGAGGCGCUUCUCCUGAGCAAGCACAUGGCGUACUCCAUCACCAGUGCGUCGCAGGGAAGCGUGAUUCUCCCACCGUCAACGCCUGCGAAGCCGAACUCUUCUUGGGACAUCCUCAAGAGCUCACUGAAGAUGUUCGUGCCGAGUAACACAAGCGGCACCUCGAACCUCACACCGUCGUCUGUGUACACAAUGCAGUGA